rnacentral:rRNA from 1 species
UUUAACUUAGUGGCGGACGGGUGAGUAACGCGUGAGUAACCUGCCUUUCAGAGGGGGAUAACGUUCUGAAAAGAACGCUAAUACCGCAUAACAUCAAUUUAUCGCAUGAUAGGUUGAUCAAAGGAGCAAUCCGCUGGAAGAUGGACUCGCGUCCGAUUAGCCAGUUGGCGGGGUAACGGCCCACCAAGCCUUCGAUGGAUAGGGGUUCUGAGAGGAAGGUCCCCCACAUUGGAACUGGGACACGGUCCAAACUCCUACGGGAGGCAGCAUG